rnacentral:snoRNA from 1 species
GGACGUUUAAUGAUGAUUGUUUUCUUCGCAUAGUUCAACUGAGUGUCUCACUGACGAAAUACAAACCAUCUAAGUCUUUCGCUCCUAUCUGAAUUACGUCC